rnacentral:rRNA from 1 species
CGGGUGCGUAACGCGUAUGCAACCUACCUUUAACAGGGGGAUAACACUGAGAAAUUGGUACUAAUACCCCAUAAUAUCAUAGAAGGCAUCUUUUAUGGUUGAAAAUUCCGAUGGUUAGAGAUGGGCAUGCGUUGUAUUAGCUAGUUGGUGGGGUAACGGCUCACCAAGGCGACGAUACAUAGGGGGACUGAGAGGUUAACCCCCCACACUGGUACUGAGACACGGACCAGACUCCUACGGGAGGCAGCAGUGAGGAAUAUUGGUCAAUGGACGCAAGUCUGAACCAGCCAUGCCGCGUGCAGGAUGACGGCUCUAUGAGUUGUAAACUGCUUUUGUACGAGGGUAAACGCAGAUACGUGUAUCUGUCUGAAAGUAUC